rnacentral:rRNA from 1 species
GUGGGGAAUCUUGCGCAAUGGGCGAAAGCCUGACGCAGCCAUGCCGCGUGAAUGAUGAAGGUCUUAGGAUUGUAAAAUUCUUUCACCGGGGACGAUAAUGACGGUACCCGGAGAAGAAGCUCCGGCUAACUUCGUGCCAGCAGCCGCGGUAAUACGAAGGGGGCUAGCGUUGCUCGGAAUUACUGGGCGUAAAGGGCGCGUAGGCGGACAGCUUAGUCAGAGGUGAAAGCCCAGGGCUCAACCUUGGAAUUGCCUUUGAUACUGGCUGUCUUGAGUUUGGGAGAGGUGAGUGGAACUCCGAGUGUAGAGGUGAAAUUCGUAGAUAUUCGGAAGAACACCAGUGGCGAAGGCGACUCACUGGCCCAAUACUGACGCUGAGGCGUGAAAGCGUGGGGAGCAAACAGGAUUAGAAACCCUGGUAGUCC